GGAAGAGCCGUGGCUGAGUGGUUGAUCACCUGCUUUGCAAGCAGAAGGUCCCAGGUUCAGUCCCUGGCUUCUCCA